rnacentral:rRNA from 1 species
CGGCACGCCUAAACAUGCAAGUCGAACGAAGUAGCAAUACUUAGUGGCAGACGGGUGAGUAACAUGUAGGUAUCUGCCCUUUGGCCUGGAAUAACACGAGGAAACUUGUGCUAAUACCGGAUAAGUCUUUACGGAGAAAGCUUUAUGCACCAUUGGAUGAGCCUGCACUUGAUUAGUUUGUUGGUAGGGUAAUGGCCUACCAAGACUGUGAUCAAUAGCUGAUUUGAGAGGAUGAUCAGCCACAUUGGGACUGAGACACGGCCCAAACUCCUACGGGAGGCAGCAGUGGGGAAUCUUGCACAAUGGAGGAAACUCUGAUGCAGCGAUGCCGCGUGAGUGAAGAAGGCCCUUGGGUUGUAAAGCUCUUUCGUCGGGGAAGAAAAUGACUGUACCCGAAUAAGAAGGUCCGGCUAACU